UUCAGCUGCACAUAUAUGUAUUAAAGUAGGAAGAUACAGAGAAGAUUAACAUGGUCCCCUGAGCAAGGACAACAAGCAAACUUAUGGAGUAUUUGAUAGUUUU